AUUGAACGCUGGCGGCAGGCCUAACACAUGCAAGUCGAACGGUAACAGGAAGCAGCUUGCUGCUUCGCUGACGAGUGGCGGACGGGUGAGUAAUGUCUGGGAAGCUGCCUGAUGGAGGGGGAUAACUACUGGAAACGGUAGCUAAUACCGCAUAAUGUCGCAAGACCAAAGAGGGGGACCUUCGGUCCUCUUGCCAUCGGAUUUGCCCAGAUGGGAUUAGCUUGUUGGUGGGGUAACGGCUCACCAAGGCGACGAUCCCUAGCUGGUCUGAGAGGAUGACCAGACCCACUGGAACUGAGAAACGGUCCAGAGUCCUACGGGAGGCAGCAGUGGGGAAUAUUGCACUAUGGGCGCAAGCCCGAUGCAGCCAUGCCGCGUGUAUGAAGAAGGCCUUCGGGUUGUAAAGUACUUUCAGCGGGGAGGAAGGGAGUAAAGUUAAUACCUUUGCUCAUUGACGUUACCCGCAGAAGAAGCACCGGCUAACUCCGUG
rnacentral:rRNA from 1 species